rnacentral:lncRNA from 1 species
AAAGAGGAGGAGGAGGAGGCCUGGCCGCGGCCGCCGCCGGCCUCGGCCGGCUUUCCUCCCGAGCUCGCCCUCCUCCCUUCUCGGGAGAAGGGAGGAGAAGAAAAGGGGGAUAUCCCCUUUCCCUCUUCGCGGGAGGAGAAAAGACAGAGGAGAGGUUUGAGAAGAAGUUGGGGGAAGAAAAGGAAGGAGAGGGGAGGUCUCGGGAAGAAACAGAGAAGGAAAGAAAAGAAAAAGAGAAGGAAAGAAAAGAAAAAAAAAAGAAAAAGAAAGAAAAGAAAAAAUACAUAAAUUAAUAGUCAAUAAAUAAAUAAAAAUUUAAGAUAAUAAAUAAAUAUAAAUAAAAUAAAAUAAUAAUAUUAGUCCUACCAUUGGGCUUGGUUCGAGCUACAGUUCCUUUUAAACCCAAACUAAUUUGGGUUCGGAAUUGGACUUGAGCCGAGCCAAAGAAAAAAGGUAUUUGGGCUACGGAACUGAUUGUAAACUUAUUAUUUAAGUUACUGUGCCUGAAUAAAAACAAGCACAGUGACUGAAUUAGGCCAAGGGACUGUUCCAGAAAUUAAUUAAGUUCUGGGCCUAAAUGCAAGUAGGCCUAGUAACUGAAUCCGACCAGGGUCCUGAUCCAGAAUUGAAUAAACUUUGGGCCUAAAUGUAAAUGAGCCUAGACCUAAAUCAAAAAACUGACUAGACCUGAACUAAGAAUUGAUUAGACCUAAAUCAGAAAUUUGACUCGAUCUGAACCAGAAAUUUCGGUCAGACCUGAAUCAAAAAAAGGCUGCAAUUUUUUCUUGGCUCAUGUCGAUUUCUUGUUUUUGUUGUUAAAACCCUACCAACCACAAAUUUACCAAGGAAAAAAUUGUUAGUGAUUAAGUGAUGUGCCUUCAUGGUGACUGCUUGUCAAUUGAUUGAAUUUAGAUUCCAUUGUAAAAUCGACACAUGAAGAGAAAAUUUUCUACUUAGUUUAUUAUAAUAGAAGAUUGGCGAAUUCUUUUUCUAUAUCUUACAAUACCCACAUGUGCUAAGGAGGGUUGGUGGGGGAUGGGGGGUGGUUGGAUGGGGUUGAGGGGUGUUAGAAGUAUGCCCUAGAAGCCAAUUUGGCUGACACAUUAUUUUAUUCUGGGACAUAAAUUUGUACUUGACCUAAUUAUGAAUUUAUUAAGUUGGGCAUUCUUUUCAUUCAUGUUCUUAUAUGUCCAUGAAUCGUCUAAGGAAUUAAUAAGAUGAUGACGCAUAUUCUCAAGAGUUGAGAAUUUGAGGCAUGUGUUAUUGGUGAUUAAUUCCUGAAUUGCUCCUGAUCGAUGGAUCAUCAUGAGGACGGUGAUUGAUCCACUGAGAUUAGUAUACAGAUUGCUUUCUUUGAUGGACGAGUCUUGAGUCCACAAUGUGGGGACACUGGAGCAAUUGUGCNN